GACGAACGCUGGCGGCGUGCUUAACACAUGCAAGUCGAACGGAAAGGCCCUGCUUUUGUGGGGUGCUCGAGUGGCGAACGGGUGAGUAACACGUGAGUAACCUGCCCUUGACUUUGGGAUAACUUCAGGAAACUGGGGCUAAUACCGGAUAGGAUCUCCUGCUGCAUGGUGGGGGUUGGAAAGUUUCGGCGGUUGGGGAUGGACUCGCGGCUUAUCGGCUUGUUGGUGGGGUAGUGGCUUACCAAGGCUUUGACGGGUAGCCGGCCUGAGAGGGUGACCGGGGACCUGGGGACUACGAUAGGGAGCAGACGCGAACGGGCGGCAAUGGGGGGGAGUCUGGCGGAGUGGGCGGGAGUGUGUGAUGGCGGUGCUGGGUGCGGGAUGAUGUGUUACGGGUGGUAAACAGAUGUCGCCGGUAACGUGGAGAGCGUGACGGUACUGAAUCAAGAAGCAACGGCUAACUACGUG
rnacentral:rRNA from 1 species